UGUCUUUCAAGAUCUUCUCAUCAUAGUUAAUUAUUUUAGAGAAUAUACAAGCUGAUAUUUCAGUCACCAGAAUAUGCCUGGACCUGGCAAACUACGGGAGCUAUACAGUCCAGUAGUGGCAAGAUGUCAAGAUCGUUUGAAACUAUGAAAAAAGGAUUCAGCUUGAGAUGCUCCAGAUUGCAUCAAACACCAUGCAUGCUAUCAGGAUGAUGUGGACCAGCUUCAUAUUAUACCAGCCGCAAUAGACCAGAUGGGAGGGGAUAACGUUGAAGGAGCUCUCUCAACAUCAACAAUCCUCACUGUUUCGGCAACCUCCCAGCAAGCAACACGCCAGCGGCUCACCAGCGGCCCAAAGGCGGCUAGUCGCUUGUAUGCACUAAACCCAGCGGGA